GAGAAGAACAGAGAAGAUUAGCAUGGCCCCUGCCCAAGGAUGACAGGCACAAAUCGAGAAAUGGUACAAAUUUUU
rfam:Brassica napus, WGS project CCCW01000000 data, contig: 12190